rnacentral:ncRNA from 2 species
AAUAUUAAAUAUAUAAUCCCUCAUAUACAUUCGGUAAUAUGGGCCGACUGUCUCUACCGGAAAACCGUAAAAAUUCCGACUAUGAGUGGAAUUGUUAUUAAA